rnacentral:misc_RNA from 1 species
GAGAAAAAAAAAAACAAGGGUUUUCUUCUUCCAAUCUAUUCUGUGUCUCUACAAGUAGGUAUUGUUAAUGGUUAUCGCUUAUCAGUUCAAAUAAUUCUCUUCAUAUAUUUUUCUAAUUUCCCUUUUCAUACUUCUUUCAUCCUGUGCAUUGUUGGGUAAAUUUUAGCUGAAGCGGGAUUGCUUGUUUGUGAGUGAUUAUUGUCCUUUUGUCGAUAUUGAUUGUUCUUUCUUUCUUGCUUGCUUCUUUUUGUUUUCCUGAUCUGGGUUGAUAAUUCCUUGCUAGUAAGAGUGAGAAAGAGGAGAGCUUUGUUUUUGCAGAAGAAGGUAGCGUUUCUGUCUUAGGGUCUUUUUUGGAUUUGAUUUAACUAUUCUUGUUGAGUAGAAUUAGUAGUUCUAGUCUUUCUUCCUCAAGGGUAUUCCAAAAUGCCGAUGUAUCUACCUAAUAGUUGUAGAAGAGAAGGAAAUGUUAAACUAGAUGUUCUGGCUAGUGGUGGGCAAGUGCUAGAUCUGGAAACUGCCGUUAAAGAUGGCAUUUUAGGUGGCAGUGGUGGUGGGUUGAUUUCCACAACCGGCGCUGAGAAAUUGGAUCUUAAAAAGAUGAUUGAAGAACUUGAAUCGAUGGAAGUGCCAUCCGUGUUUAUAUGUCCGAUCUCAUUGUACCCAAUGCAGGACCCAGUGACGCUCUGCACUGGCCAGACAUAUGAGAGAUCCAACAUCCUCAAAUGGCUUUCUCUUGGCCACUACACUUGCCCUACUACAAUGCAAGAGCUUUGGGACGAUACGCUCACUCCAAACAAUACUCUGCAGCAGCUCAUUUUUAGCUGGUUCUCCCAGAAGUAUUUAGCUAUGAAGAAGUGAUCCGAGGACGGGCAAGGGAGGGUUAUUGAGCUUUUGGAGACUCUAAAGAAGGUUAAGGGUCAAGCUAGAGUUCAAGCUCUAAGAGAGCUUGGGCAGAUUGUUAUUGAACAUGCCACGGCGAAGAAGGCUGUGCUAGAUACUGGCGUCGUUGCCUUGGUUUCUUCCUUGUUGGGUCCUUUUACCACGCAUGCUGUUGGGUCUGAGGCAAUUGGGAUUCUUGUGAAUUUGGAUCUUGAUUUCACAUCCAGGGCAAAUUUGUUAGAACCUGCCAAGAUUGCUUUAAUGGUGGAUAUGCUUAAUGAGGGUUCGAUCGAGACCAAGAUUAACUGUACGAGAUUGAUUGCAAUGCCAAUAGAGAGGAAGUGCGUCGACUCUGAAAACGUGUCAAGCUUGAGCCUUUUGGUUGGUUUGUUGAGGUUAGUGAAAGAUAGGAGACAUCCAAAUGGGGUAGUGGUUGGCCUUGGUUUGUUAAAAACCCUUUGUUCUUUUGAAUCUGUUAGGAACUCAGUUGUGAGCAUUGGAGCAAUUCCUUACUUAGUGGAGCUAUUGCCCAGUUUGAAUAAUGACUGUUUGUAGUUUGCUCUUUAUAUUCUAGAGGUUCUUUCAACUAUAUCAGAGGGAAGAUUGGCUUUGAAGGAUUGUGCCAAUACGAUUCCGAACAUGGUGAAAUUGUUGAUAAAGGUAUCUGAGAGGUGUACUCAGCUUGCAUUAUCCAUAUUAUGGGCAGUUUGUCAGCUUGCACCCGAAGAAUGUGCUGCACUUGCUGUGGAAGCUGGUUUGGCAGCGAAGCUGCUUUUCGUACUGCAGAGUGGUUGUAAUCCUGAGCUGAAACAGAGGUCAGCUGAGCUCUUGAAAUUGUGUAGUCUAAAUUACAUGGCUACUAUCUUUAUUUCCAAGUGUAAGCUUUCCAGAACAAUUCAAUGAAGGAAAAAGCCAAUUUGUUGAUUCAAACCUUCUCGUUUACUCCUGUUCCCAAGAGGUGAAGGCAUUGGUUCUAGUGGAAUCGGAUGUGAUAGAGCCAGUCAGAUUUUCAAAGGUACUCUUUUCUCUCCCUUGUGUAUAUUAAAACAUGUUUGAAUUUUGAUACAUUCUAUUGGUGUUAGAUAAUAUAUAAGAGCAGCAUCAUAACUUGGAUUUUAGCCUGAUUGCACAUUGUGCAGUCAUUAAUUAUUCUCAUCCACUCACUAUCUAUAAGCAGUGUUUUGCCAAAAUUUUUCAAUAAUCCCUGGCCAGAUUAUUAUUGAAUUGGACUGCUCUCUCUUGCCAAAAUGGAAUUGAUAUGUUAUCUGCUUCCGUGAUUGUUCCCAUUUAAAAGAGAGCUCUGUGAGUAAACUGUAAGAUAUGGAUCUGUAGAGGAGUUUAGCAGGUUCAGAAUGUGAGAGUACUGGGAAAGGAUGCGAGGAGGCCUGGAAAAUGAAAGAAAAAGGAAAAUCCUAACAUCUAAUUAGUGUGUUUUUUCCUCUUUUCUAUUCGUCUAUGAAUCCUUCGAUCGCAAUUAGCUUUUGAAAUGAAAUUGAGUAUUUCAGCAACUCUCAUCUCUAGGUGAUUUGCUCUGUUGACUCUGCCACAAACACCUCUGGCAAUUUCAGCUACCAUACCCAACACCAACAAACAAAACAAGUACAGCUUUUUUUAUCCUUAGGUACAAACGGACCAGUAAAAUUGAGAUGAAUUUGAAGCAUCGUUAUUAUUUGCUUAUGAUUCUUAUGCCUAACCUAAUCAAGUAAAUUCCUCUUCUUCUACAGAGCCCAAACAUUUUCUCUUCCCCUCCUUAUCUUCAUCGUCACUGUUCACGCAGUUCCUUUGGUGUUUCAAAUUUCAACUAAGCCAAUCUGUCCUCUAGUCCUAGUUGACACGCAAAAAACUCAUCCAACUUGUCUGCCUCCUGUUUGCCUGUGCAGAAGGCCAAAGCAUUUCAAGAAAAUAAUCUGAGCUUAUGAAUAUACUUAUCAGAUAAAUCAAUCACCAGUAUUAUGUUAUGCUUAAGACAGCUGGUAUUUAGCAAAGGCUAUCAAGGCUUUAUUGAACCCAUUUUCUGAAAUAUUUCUUUUCUGGUUAAUACCCUUUUAAAUUAUUUGAACUUCUUUACCUUGGCAUUAAUAUCCAGUAAGACUCUUUCUCUAUUUGUUUGGUUCUAGCAUUCAAUGUAAUUUUGUUGGAAUUUAUUCUUUGAACUUUGUUUCCUAAAAAAGAUUUCAUGGGCAAGUUCUAAUUAGCUCAUUGUUGUAAAAGCUGAAGUUUGCAAAUGGACAUUACCUGCAAUGAGAAGGUGGAUGUCAAUGUUUAAUGUUUUAAUGGUGAAAUGACUUGACAAAAUAGUAUGCUAUUUAUUGUUGUAUGCUAGAGGAUUGAAGAAGGUUUGGAACUUGUGAAUAAAGAUGUGCAGGGCCAAUGUUUUCAUGACAACUGCAAGGUUUGCAAGCACACCACAGAAAUGAAUGACUGCUAGUCUUCCAACAACUUUUGGGAGCAACUCAGGUUUUCCAUUCCAGGUAUAAUAUAAAGAUGAUUAUUCUCUCCUUUUGCUGGCAACUUCUAGGCAUAUCAUAUUUGAUAAAUUCAAACCAUUAAAGUUAAAAUAAGCUGCUAUGAAUAUUUUAAAAUUUUGAUUUUAUAUUUUUGGGAAUGGAUUAUUAUUUGUUAUAGUUUUAAAUACAAAACCUCUGUGUUUUUGUUCAUGCUAUUUCAAAAUUAGCUAUUUGGUCCCUAUGGUUUGUUAAUGACUCUACACUCUAGUCCAUUAUUAAAAAAUUAUGAAUUUUUCAUUGCACUUUACUCCCUUUCGUUUUAAAUUAGACCACACUUUAGUCCCUGAAAUUUUUAUAUUGCUAAACAUUUCAGUCCACCAAAAUCUUGUAUUUUUCACAUAUGGUAGUAUAGGAACCAAAAUUGUUACUUUUGAAACAGCAGGAACCAAAGUAUAAUUAAAGGAGAACUUCGGGGAAUUUUUUUGGACUAAUCCUUUGUUGUGUCAUCAUUAUUGUAUUAGGUUAUUUUGAAUGCAACAGCAUGGAUUAGGCAAACAUGAUAAGUCUAGACACAUAGUUAACGAUUUUCUGAAAGUAGUUUACUCAGUUAUAGAACAUGGUGCUCAAGUUUUAGGAAUUGCUUUUUAACUUACAGGUAUGUCAAAGCAUACAUGUACUGUCAAUGAAAUACUAAGAAAAAAGCUGGCAGCAGUUCUUUCUCAGUUGAGGCGUCCUCCAACUUCUCAGCUGAAAGCCUUCUUCAGGCAAAAAAUGCAUCAACCAUUCUGUUACUCUUUCUACCUCAUGAUCCACUCUGAAGGUAAUUAUUGCUUUUACUUCAGGGAAUAAACUAGGGGUGUCCUAGUUGGUAUUUUUGCCAGAGGAGGAGAGAAAACGAGGGUGAGAGAGCAACAUUUCUUCGCUUUAAUCCAAAAAUACUUGGCCAGAACAACUGAACAGCUUGUUAUUACUCCACACAGUACUUAUUUGGCAAAUGAACUCUUCAGUGAAUUGAAAUCAAGAAUGAAAAGAAUCUCUUUGGAUUUCUACUAGUACAGUCUUACUUUCAUUCUUCUCUCUGGUACCAAGUGGCUUCUGGCAGAAGAAAAGGCAGAAAUUGAAGUUGCAAUGGAAUUAAUUAUAGAAUCGCCACGCUACUUUUUUUUUCCCCUUUAUGCACCAAAAGAAUAAGAAGAAGAAAGUAUAGAACCAAGACCAACAUGAAUGUGCUAGAUUCUUCAAAGAUAUAAACAAAGGUGUGACGUGAAACCAAGUACAGUAGUGCUGUCUAUCUAGUGAGAAUCCAACUAGACAUGAAAAUCGAACAGCUAUUACUCUUGGAAUCUUGCUUCUGCUGAACCAAUAACAUGUCUUAAUCAUAUUUCAUGACAACAAUGGGAAGAAGACGGCACAAAAGCUAGCUAUUAAUUUUCUACCCAUAAUAAACUAAUUAAGCUAACAAGAAGCACUACACCAUGACUCAUAUUCAUGAUCUCUAAACAGAUUAUGAUGUUUAGACAUCUAAACGUUAAUAUUUUUUUCUUCUUACUUCCAAAAAAAUCAGUCUUAGAAGAUCAUGUUUUGGAGCUUUGGCGAGAUGUAAUUUGGGGUUUGAUAAAAAGAAAGGGGUUGGACAAUUCCUCUAAAGAAUGAAGAUUUGUUGGCUGCUAUGCUUUUCAAGUUGACAAGAUCUUGUGCUUUUCUUUCCCCACUCAUUUGUUUUGAUUCUUCUUUUGUCCGUGUGAAUGCAUUCAUGGCAAGAAAAGUGGAAUGCAU